AUGCUUACUUAGGCAGCAUAUAUAUAUUAAAAUUGGAAUGAUACAUAUAAGAUUAGCAUGGCCCCUGAACAAGGAUGGCAUGCACAUUUGUGAAGUUUCCAUAUUUUUC
rnacentral:snRNA from 1 species